GCCUGGCUAGCUCAGUUGGUAGAGCAUGAGACUCUUAAUCUCAGGGACAUGGGUUCAAGCCCCACGUUGGGUG